rnacentral:rRNA from 1 species
UACGAAGGGGGCUAGCGUUGCUCGGAAUCACUGGGCGUAAAGCGCACGUAGGCGGAUCUUUAAGUCAGGGGUGAAAUCCUGGAGCUCAACUCCAGAACUGCCUUUGAUACUGGGGAUCUCGAGUCCGGAAGAGGUGAGUGGAAUUCCCGGUGUAGCGGUGAAAUGCGCAGAUAUCGGGAGGAACACCAAUUGCGAAGGCAGCUCGCUGGGACGUCACUGACGCUGAGACGCGAAAGCGUGGGGAGCAAACAGG